rnacentral:rRNA from 1 species
UACAGAGGUCCCAAGCGUUGUUCGGAUUCACUGGGCGUAAAGGGUGCGUAGGUGGUGGGGUAAGUCGGAUGUGAAAGCUCGGAGCUCAACUCCGAAAUGGCAUUGGAAACUACCCUGCUAGAGGAUUGGAGGGGGGACUGGAAUACUUGGUGUAGCAGUGAAAUGCGUAGAUAUCAAGUGGAACACCAGUGGCGAAGGCGAGUCCCUGGACAAUACCUGACACUGAGGCACGAAAGCUAGGGGAGCAACAGG